ACCUUAGAGACCAACUAAGUUUGUUAUUGGUAUGAGAUUUUUGUGCAUGCACAUGAAAGCUCAUACCAAUAACAAACUUAGUUGGUCUCUAAGGU